AUAAUUCCUCCCCUCUUUUCCUUUAUAAAUACCCUUCAAAUCCCAAAACCACACAGAUCUCUACAAUCACUUACGUCGCUCCCUACGUUGUGUAAUUGCUCGUUGUUCUUUAUUUUUAAUCAAAACUCUCUGGUUUGCUUACUGCAAAACCAGAUUUGCUUAAGAAGAGAGUGACCCACAAUUUAAAUGGAAAGUAGCAGUAAGUAUAAUAUUAGUUCAGAAAAGCCUGAUAGGAAAACAGUGGAAAGGAACAGAAGAAUCUAUAUGAAGUAUCUUUGUUCUAAGCUUAUUUCUGUCAUUCCUCCCCGCCACUUUAAACCCUCUACGGAGAUGCUUUCACAACAAGACCAAGUUGAUCAAGCUAUUACUUACAUUGAGCAAUUAAAAGAAAGAGUCGAGGUAUUAAAUAGAAGGAAGGACGAGGAAGCACAAGGCACAGGUGAAAGAAGUAGUAAUUCAAAGAAAGUAAUGACAACUUGUACUUUAGAAACACCUGCGGUUGAAGUUUGAGAGUUGGGUUCAACUCUAGAGGUGAUUUUAAUUAGUGGUUUGAAAAAGAAGUACUUCACAAUGCAAGAAGUUAUAAACAUCUUAGAGGAAGAAGGAGCUCAAGUUGUUACUGCUCAUUUUUCAACAGUUUGCGGUGAAAAUAACGAGAUUAGGGAUUGAUGCUUCAACGGUCCAAUUGAGAUUGCAAAAUCUGGUCUGCUAAAUUUUCUAACCAGCAAGGAUUAAUAAGGAGAUACGCCAUAUACAGAUGUUUUAGUUUAUGAAAUAAUAAUAUAAUAUUCAUAUUGUUUUGCCCAACUCUAGAGGUGAUUUUAAAUUGAGGUGAAGUUAGAGAGUUGGGUCCAACUGUUUUAUAUGCCAUAGUUUUUUUCCCUUUCUUUUGUUGGUUUCAAGUUGGCAUGCUUAUGUACACAUAGAAAUCAUUGCUCCCAAGGCUACAAAUAGCGUAAUUAGUUUAUCUUUUCAUCUCGAUGAAUCAACAACGAGAUGUUUAAUUUU